UCUGAGUAUGACCUUAGGCCACCUGCCUUGCCCCUUCAGCUGGCUGAGGGCUGUAGUGGGGCCUAACUCUGUUUUAUAAGGUAGCUGGAUAAACAGCUGAAACCCUGAUUAAAGAAGUAAGAGCCCCAAAUACAAAACCUUUCAAGAUAACAAUAUAGGACGGGGCUCCUUCACUUACUCUUUCAAAGAUUUGUUUGUCACCUACUGUUACUGAACCAAACUUGGGUCCACUUGCCCUUGCACGGUAAAGCCAAUCUACUGACACUGGUCUGUGAUGAAGGAAGGUGCAGCGUUUAUUGCAGGAUGCCAAACAAGGAGUCUAGGCAGCUAGUGCUUAAAAAACCCAAACUCCCCAAAGGCUUUCAGGGAAAGGUUUUUAAAGACAGGGUGAGGGAGAGGGUUGAGGGGUGUGUGGUCAGCUCAUGGACAUUCUUCUGAUGGGUUGGUGGUGAGGUAAUUGGGAGUCAACAUCAUCAACCUUCUGGUUCCUACGGGUCUAGGGUCUAUGUGCUGGUGGUCAGCAUAGAGUUAACUUCUUCCCGCUGGUGAGGUUUUCAGUGUCUGCAAAACAGCUCAAAGGACAUGGCUCAGAAUACUACCUAUAGCCCUUGAGAAGGAACUAAAGUUCCCUGACUGUUUAAUGGCUAAACUAUUAUUAUUUUGUCUUGCUUGACUGUUUUCCUUUGUUUCUGAAUUUUCUCACUUCUCUGAUUAAAUUUAUUCUUUGGAACUCAGGGAAGGCCUGGGAGCCCAAAGUUUUACUACAAACAAGAGGCAGGUGGAGGACAUGGGGGGGUCUGUACUGGGAAGGCCCCAUAGGGUACUGCUUGGUUACAUUACUAUGUGCUAAGCAUUUUUCUAGAUACAGCAGUGAACAAAGCACAAGAGACCUCAGCCUCAUGGAACUCAAAUCCCUGUCCUUGUGGAGCGACACAGACAACACAUAAAGGCCCCACCCAAGAAGGAGGCUUUUCUCCCUGUGUUCCAGGAAAGGGCUCACUUGAUUUCUUCCAGGUCCAAAGGGGAAACUGGCCCUUCAAAAAUAUUAUCCGAGCCGCUACAUGAUCUCCAGGAGCACGCUUGAAUGGGUGUAUAUAUGUAUCUAUUGAGCUACCUAUGGCUCUGAACCCCGCUUUGGCCAUCUUUCAAUGGGCGGUUGGAACAACUUGCUUCCCAGUGAGAGCACCUGCCCCAGUGAUUGACAGACGCCAGGGGAAGGGCCACAUCCAUCUCAAAGAACAUCAGUCAGGUCUGCCCACCUAGCAGUUUCAAGUUGGAAGGAGGCUGGGGACUGGUAACAUGGCCAUAUGGGGAGAAGGUGCAGUCUUUCCAACUCUGCACACUAGGUGUGCUUGCUUGCCCUGCAGACCAGUGCACACCGGGCAACUGUUAUUCCCUCACCUAAGAAGUGAGAUGAGGCACAGCUGAAUUCAGAACUAGCUCCAAAGAGCUGCUCUGAAGAUGGAGGAGUCUUGGACUUGGGGGUGACACUGACCUUUGGCUAGGCUGUGCCUGUGCUGACAGAGAUGGAGCCAAGACUCAGCAACUGAGUGGAGAGAGAGCCGAAGCUUCAAGGCAAGGGCCUUACGCAAAGGAUCUAACCAUCUUUUGUCUGGUGGGACUGUCAACAUUUCUGUUUAUAACUGAUGCAUUUGUACAACCGGGACACAUUUAGAGGGGGAAACACCCUUUAUCCAAAUAUUCAAGAACUAUAGAAAAAUGAACAUCUUACU